GGUAAUGGUUCUUAGAGCUUGACUGUCAAAUUUAAUAAUAAUUGCAUUUGCACAUUAAGAAGGAAAGGAACUUCUCAACUCCUUGAGCAGACAUACGAUACUACUGCACAUACUCUCACCAGCUACUCUUGAGCAGGCCAGCAAGAGGAGUAAACCGGACGCUCCAUGAAGACCAACGCUGUUCUUGAGUUCCUGAUUUCCGAGUUCCAGUCUACGGUGUCCCAGUCUUCAUGCUUUUCUUGUUAUAUUUCUGGGCUUGAUGGUAG